GGGGCACAGGCAGCGACAACAGCGAAGACACCAUGUUGCAGCAAGGUAGGGUUAAAGAGAGGGCCAUGGACGCCUGAAGAAGAUGAGCUUCUUGUCAACUACAUCAAGAAAGAAGGGGAAGGUCGCUGGCGUACCUUGCCUAAAAGAGCUGGACUUCUCCGCUGCGGUAAGAGUUGCCGUCUCCGAUGGAUGAACUACCUCCGUCCUUGUGUAAAACGCGGCCAGAUCGCUCCUGAUGAAGAAGAUCUCAUUCUUCGCCUGCAUCGCCUCCUGAGCAAGAAGCUCAUAAGCCAAGGAAUCGAUCCAAGAACCCACAAGCCACUCAAGCCUGAAUCUGUUGAUCAUCACAAAGCUUCUUCAUCUAAAGCAAAUCGCAAAACAUCAAGCCCUAAGAGUAAUAAUAACAAUCCAGCUGGUGCAGCUGCUUCUUCUGGUGUGGAAGAAACAAACAGCGGGGGCAGUACUCAAAUCAUCAGCAACGAACAAAAUUUAUACAUCGAAAACACUUCCUUGGAUCAUCACUACCACAUUAACGGGAACAAUAAUAAUGCAAGCCAUGGAUAUUCAAGCUUGCUGAAUUGUGGUGAUGGUACUUGUGGGAUGUAUUUGAGAAGCAACGUUCAAGGGCUUAACAACGAAGAAGACGAAUGCUGCAUCUGCUGAUGCUGUUGACUAGUGAAAGCUUCUUCAUUUCUCAAUUCGAUCAUCAAUGAGGAAGCUUUCACUAGUCAACAGCAUCAGCA
rnacentral:misc_RNA from 1 species